AUUGAACGCUGGCGGCAUGCCUUACACAUGCAAGUCGAACGGCAGCACGGGGGCAACCCUGGUGGCGAGUGGCGAACGGGUGAGUAAUGCAUCGGAACGUGCCCAGUAGUGGGGGAUAACCAGUCGAAAGACUGGCUAAUACCGCAUACGACCUAAGGGUGAAAGCGGGGGAUCGCAAGACCUCGCGCUAUUGGAGCGGCCGAUGUCUGAUUAGCUUGUUGGUGGGGUAAAAGCCCACCAAGGCGACGAUCAGUAGCUGGUCUGAGAGGACGACCAGCCACACUGGGACUGAGACACGGCCCAGACUCCUACGGGAGGCAGCAGUGGGGAAUUUUGGACAAUGGGCGCAAGCCUGAUCCAGCCAUGCCGCGUGCGGGAAGAAGGCCUUCGGGUUGUAAACCGCUUUUGGCAGGAACGAAACGGCGAUCUCUAAUACGGGUCGUUAAUGACGGUACCUGCAGAAUAAGCACCGGCUAACUACGUGCCAGCCGCCGCGGUAACAC
rnacentral:rRNA from 1 species